UACGUAGGGGGCAAGCGUUAUUCGGAAUUAUUGGGCGUAAAGGGCGCGUAGGCGGCCCGGUAAGUCAAAGGUGAAAUCCCUCGGCUCAACUGAGGAACUGCCUUUGAAACUGUCGGGCUUGAGGCCGGGAGGGGGUAGUGGAAUUCCCAGUGUAGCGGUGAAAUGCGUAGAUACUGGGAGGAACACCAGUGGCGAAGGCGGCUACCUGGACCGGUUCUGACGCUGAUGUGCGAAAGCGUGGGUAGCAAACAGG
rnacentral:rRNA from 1 species